rnacentral:rRNA from 1 species
ACAUGCAGUCGAGCGGAUCUUGUCCUUCGGGGCAAGGUUAGCGGCGGACGGGUGAGUAACACGUAGGCAACCUGCCUGUAAGACCGGGAUAACUACCGGAAACGGUAGCUAAGACCGGAUAAUCGGUUUCCUCGCAUGGGGGAAUCGUGAAACACGGGGCAACCUGUGGCUUACGGAUGGGCCUGCGGCGCAUUAGCUAGUUGGUGGGGUAACGGCCUACCAAGGCGACGAUGCGUAGCCGACCUGAGAGGGUGAACGGCCACACUGGGACUGAGACACGGCCCAGACUCCUACGGGAGGCAGCAGUAGGGAAUCUUCCGCAAUGGACGCAAGUCUGACGGAGCAACGCCGCGUGAGUGAGGAAGGCCUUCGGGUCGUAAAGCUCUGUUGCCCUAGACGAAUGUCUUCAGGAGUAACUGCCUGGAGAGUGACGGUAUAGGAGAAAAAGCCCCGGCUAACUACGUGC